rnacentral:rRNA from 1 species
AACGAACGCUGGCGGCGCGCCUAAUACAUGCAAGUCGAGCGAGAAGACGUAGCAAUACGUUUGUAAAGCGGCGAACGGGUGAGGAAUACAUGGGGUAAUCUACCCUCGAGUGGGGAAUAACUAGCCGAAAGGUUAGCUAAUACCGCGUACGCUCCUUGGACUUCGGUUCAGGGAGGAAAGCGAUACCGUGGGUAUCGCGCUCUUGGAUGGGCUCAUGUCCUAUCAGCUUGUUGGUGAGGUAACGGCUCACCAAGGCUUCGACGGGUAGCUGGUCUGAGAGGACAAUCAGCCACACUGACACUGCGACACGGGCCAGACUCCUACGGAGGCAGCAGUAAGGAAUAUUGCGCAACGGGCG